UGCCCCGUGAAAAAAAUACGGGGUAAUUCCUGCCCGGUGACACAACGUUCAACGGCCGCGGUAUCCUAACCGUGCAAAGGUAGCAUAAUCACUUGCCUAUUAAUUGUAGGCUAGAAUGAAAGGACCCACGAAAUAAAAACUGUCUCAAUUAGUCACCUAAAAAUUAUUCUCUACCUGAAGAAAAGUAGAUAGCCUCGAAGGACAAGAAGACCCUAUAGAGCUUUAUUAUAAUUAUAGAACUAAACUAUAAAAAUAUUCGGUUGGGGCGACCCCGGGCUAAAUAAUCACCCUCUAAAUAAAAGAUAUAUAAAUCAAAUAAAUGACCCUUUAAAGAUCAAAAAAUAAGCUACCUUAGGGAUAACAGGCUAAUCCCAUUUAAGAGUCCUUAUCAACAAUGGGGGUUGGCACCUCGAUGUUGGCUUAGGGUAUCUAUAUAACGCAAAAGUUAUAUAAAGAUGGUUUGUUCAACCAAUAAUUCCCU
rnacentral:rRNA from 1 species